ACUAAUAUAGUUUAAUGCUAAAAUUUAAAUUUUGUAAAUUAAAGAAAUUUUUUUUAUUAGUUC
rnacentral:tRNA from 1 species